rnacentral:lncRNA from 1 species
GAUGCUUUUCCGGUCAUCGACUUCGUCGAUGCUGUCGGAUUGCUACUCUUCCAAGACAUCAUCGGUGAUAGCCGAUGCACGCUAGAGGGGAGAUAUCUUGCGGCUUCAAGCUGGAGGUCCCGUUCGACGUCUUCGAUGAGUUCUUCUCCCGGGUGUCAAGAUCUAAGGACUCUAGUUUCAAUUUUGAUUUUUGUCAGGGUCUUGUUCGCAAUUGU